AAAAUACUAAAAUAGUAAAUAAAUAUUUAUUAAAACUUAAAUAAUUUGGCGGUAUUUUAGUUCAUUUAGAGGAAUCUGUUUAAUAAUUGAUAUUCCACGAAUAAAUUUACUUAAUUUAUAAUUUUGUAUAUCGUUGUUAUAAAAAUAUUUUUUAAUAAAAUUAAUAUUUAAAAAUUAAUAUUAUAAAUUAAAUCAGAUCAAGAUGUAGAUUAUAAUUAAGAAUAUAAUGGAUUACAAUAAAUUUAUUUAAAUGGAUUUUAAUUUGUAAUAUUUAAUUGAAGGUGGAUUUAAAUGUAAUUUUAUUUAAUUUAAUAAAAUGAUUAAAAAUUAAAAUAUGU
rnacentral:rRNA from 1 species